rnacentral:rRNA from 1 species
AGCGAACGCUGGCGGCAGGCCUAACACAUGCAAGUCGGACGGGCAUCUUCGGAUGUCAGUGGCAGACGGGUGAGUAACACGUGGGAACGUGCCCUUCGGUUCGGAAUAACUCAGGGAAACUUGAGCUAAUACCGGAUACGCCCUUUUGGGGAAAGGUUUACCGCCGAAGGAUCGGCCCGCGUCUGAUUAGCUUGUUGGUGGGGUAACGGCCUACCAAGGCGACGAUCAGUAGCUGGUCUGAGAGGAUGAUCAGCCACACUGGGACUGAGACACGGCCCAGACUCCUACGGGAGGCAGCAGUGGGGAAUAUUGGACAAUGGGCGCAAGCCUGAUCCAGCCAUGCCGCGUGAGUGAUGAAGGCCUUAGGGUUGUAAAGCUCUUUUGUCCGGGACGAUAAUGACGGUACCGGAAGAAUAAGCCCCGGCUAACUUCGUGCCAGCAGCCGCCGUAAAAC